AUCCCAAGUAAACUCUCUAGUGUUUAUUUGAUUCAUGGGAGGCCAACAUAGACGAUGGGAGUUCGCUGGUAGCACCUUUACCAUUCAAGAGGUGUUCCAAUAGUACCUCACCAUACACAG
rfam:Daucus carota subsp. sativus cultivar DH1 chromosome 9, whole genome shotgun sequence.